CUGAACACUCGCAUUGGGAGAUAAAUAAAGACCAAGAAUAAAUAAAUGACAUGAACUGUUGCAUCAAAAGAUAAACUCAUGAGAAUAAUCACCUACGUGGGACCUUCUGACACAAGACAAACUUUAACGAAAAUUACGUGCAUAAAUAAAAAGAAAAUAAAGACGAACAUUGGAUAAGGCAACGGUUCAAACACUCACCUGCAGGAAGUUGAACCUAUUGAACUAACUAUGGAGUCACGAAUGUUGCAGAGUUUCGGGCUAACAGUCUGGGGACUAAUGCUUGCCUU
rnacentral:misc_RNA from 1 species